rnacentral:rRNA from 1 species
UACGGGGGGAGCAAGCGUUGUUCGGAUUUACUGGGCGUAAAGGGCGCGUAGGCGGCCAGCGCAAGUCAGUUGUGAAAUCUCCGAGCUUAACUCGGAAAGGUCAACUGAUACUGCGCGGCUAGAGUGCGGAAGGGGCAACUGGAAUUCUUGGUGUAGCGGUGAAAUGCGUAGAUAUCAAGAGGAACACCUGCGGCGAAGGCGGGUUGCUGGGCCGACACUGACGCUGAUGCGCGAAAGCUAGGGGAGCAAACGGG